UCUCCUUUCUUUGUUUUUGAUGUCGGAAUCCAAGUUUGCUGGACCACUGGAGAGCUGGAGAUGAACUGUUGGUUAGGGACAUCUGGGCACUGAUUACUUCCCUAACAACUCUCACCCCAUACAAAUAAGAUCUGGGUGUGUGUUGUCAGAAAAUAAUCCAAAACUUUAUCUUAACCACUUCAGGAAUAGACUACUCCUCUGACUACAGGCAUUUUAGUACAGCUACAGAAGAAAAAGCAGACGUCAAGUUCACCAUUUAUCACUGUUCAAAAACCAGCUAAGUUAUGUUCUUCAUCAUGAUCUCCUAAAACUCCCAUUGCUCCCUUUCUGGGGAAGGAAAAGAAGGUAAAGCACCAUGCAGUAGGUAGAUCUCCAAGUGAAGCUCUAAGGGGAAAAUAUUAAAUAGGACUUUGAUAGGUGGGAGGAAGUUAGGUACCUUAUUGGGCAAAUGUUAAACAAAAUAAAGCUGGAUUGGUUAUAUUAAUAUCAGACAUGGCCCAACUCAAGAUAAAUAUGGCAAAGCAGACAAAAACACCAUUUACUUAUCAUUACAAAACCUGAUAAAUCAUAUUCUACCAAUAAUAUAGCAUCAAUAAAAGCAUACAUCUUAGGCCACACAAAGAAAAGCAUAAUAUUGUAGAUUACUGAAAUUUACUCAAUUUUUAUAGAUCUAGUGGAUAAAAAAUUAAUACAUGGAAUAUGUAUCUGCUAACCCGUGGCUUGCUGUGACAUACAGGAACCUCAUUCUAAUGCCUUACACACGUGACCAUCUCACACCAUCCUUAACCUCUACAUGAUAUCAUACACAUGUCCAACACUCCAAGUUUCUUAAAUAAUGUAUCGUUACUUCCAACUUGCUCUCCCACCAUACUGCCUUGGGAUAUGCAUUUUCUUCUCUUUGGAGUGCACUUACCAUCUCCCUCCUCCACUUAAGCUAAUUCCACUGUUAAAAUUAUGCCAGUAUAUGGAAGGUAGUACCUUGUGAUAAGUAGAAGCAUGGGUUAUGGAGUCAUUAAUAUCUCAUUUACUGCAAGAUAUUGGAAAUGCUAUUUAACCUACAGUGUCUUAGUGUCCGUGUUUGUAAACUAAGAAUAGUAACAACUUAACUCAUGGGCCUAUGCUGAGAAUUAAAUGAGAAUUUUCUAUACUGGAAAAACAUGCAAACAAGUCUUUAAAAAUAUUAGACUACAAUGUAUGUUUUUAAAGUAGUAUAAAACAUAUUAGAAAUUGUCAUCUGAUCUGUUAAAAUCUCCAGAUACACACAUACGCACACACAAAAUGAAAAUAUUUUAAAUUUCACUAAUACACUAAAUCUGCAAUCAUUUCCUGACCAACAGUCAGACAAGGUCAAUAACUUAUUAUAUUUAAUCUUAAAUUAUUUCUAGUAGACUGUGCCUAUAAUGAUCAAAAGUAUUAGAGUGGCCUGUUGAAGAAUAAUUUCUUAUAAAUAAGUAAAUGAAUACUUUUAAAUGCACUUAAGGUAAACACAUUUCUCUCUUCUUCAUUUGAAACCUAAAUUGGCAAUUCAAGAAGUUAAUAAAUCCAUUAUUUUGGGAAAUAAACUUACUGUAUUCAAAUUUGAGACAUAUAAUACUCCAGAUAAUAAGCAAGAUCUCAGAUAAAAGCCAAUAAAAUAAACCGCAUGUCAAGUCUACAUUGAAAAAUCUUCAUUCACAUGUCUCUAAAGGUGGAAUUAUAAUGCUUAUAUGGUUAAUCUUCUAUAACAUUAGGUAAAGCCAUCCUUUGAGACAUCCAAGUGAUCCUAAGUUUCAACAUCUUCAGAAACCCAACUCGUACAAUGUGGAGUCCAAAUUUUCUUUUUGUCCUUAUUUCCAAAUUUAACAGGAAAAAUGAAGAUUUACUUAUGAUUUUAUUACAUUUAAACAAUGUGGGGACAAUGAUAAAUUUCAUUAAGCUUAACAUUUUUGAUGUUUUCUAAUUAUAGAAAAAUAUAUGUAAAAAUACAUUUAAAAAUAAAUAGAAAUAUUUAAGAAAAAAUAAAUAUGACCUAUUCUCCUGAUAUUCAAGACAGCUCCUAUUAAUAUUUUACCACAUUUAUUUACUAACUUGCUUAACUAUUUUUGUGUGUAUGAUGUGUUCCCUGAUUGAAUAACUAAUUGUUUUCAAUGUCAAAAAUUAUAUUCAUUUUGCAGCUUUCCAUAUAAACUAACAAAAUGCCUUUCUGAAAAAUUUCUACAAAUUUAUAAUCUUGCCAAGAGCCUUAAGAGCAUUUGUUUCUCCACAACUUUGUCAACACUGUGUAAUAUUAUUAAAUAUUUGUAGUUUUUUUAACAUCUUAGUAUGUAAUUAAAAGAUAAAGUUAGUGAUGUAAAAUUAACCUUCGAUUCAUUGGCUAUUUGUGUUUCCUUGGUUAAUAUAUUUUAACAAUCUUUGCUAUUUUUCUACUGAAAGAAAAACAUUUUAUUAUUAAAUUAUAACAGCCUUUAUGUAUUUUGAAUAAUAAUCAUUGGCUCAUUGGCCAUUUCUUGAAAAUGUUUAUCCUAUCUUGAUAUUUUCAAUUUAUAGAUUAAAAUUUUUAGGCAGAAGUAUAUGUGUAUGUGUAUAUGUAGACACAUAACCUCUAUUGCCUUUACUCCUUGAAUCUCCUUCUCCGAGAGAUAGAAAACUACUCAUAUGUAUUUUUUCCAGACUAUAUCUGAUCAUUUGUAUUUUCCCCCUAAAUUUAUAACAAAUUCCUGAUAUAUUAAAGAGUUGAAAUGGGGAGAAAGUUUCCACUUCCCUUUCAACUCUUUAAUACAUCAGAAGUUUAUUUUAGUGUUUACUAUUAUUGACCCAGUACUAUUUAUUGAAAACAAAAUUUCUGAGAAAUGAGAUGAUAGCUAAUAACAAUCUGAACUAAGUCCCCACAACUUACUGUUUUUCUCUGUCAGAUAGAGUCUGUCUUCAAUGUGGUAAUAAAUCCUCUGAGUCACUAUCAUAGCUGUGAAUUAUUUUAUUAUCCUGUCUCUUAAUUUGUUUUUUGUUGUCUUGCUCUUAUAGAAUGUGUGCUCCAUUAGGAAAGGACAGUACAGCCUCAUGCAAAGAUCAAUAUCAACCAUCUAGCAGAGUGCCUGGAAGAUAAAAAGGACUUCUUAUGUAUUUAUUGUCUUACUCAUUAGUAAGAAAUCAUUAAAACACACGAUAAAUUAUAAUCAA